UUGAACGCUGGCGGCAUGCUUUACACAUGCAAGUCGAACCGGCAGCACGAGGAAGCUUGCUUUCUUGGUGGCGAGUGGCGGACGGGUGAGUAAUGCAUAGGAAUCUGCCUUUUGGUGGGGGAUAACUUGGGGAAACUCAAGCUAAUACCGCAUAAGACCUACGGGUGAAAGCGGGGGAUCUUUGGACCUCGCGCCGAAAGAUGAGCCUAUGUUGGAUUAGCUAGUUGGUGGGGUAAAGGCCUACCAAGGCGACGAUCCAUAGCUGGUUUGAGAGGAUGAUCAGCCACACUGGGAGCUGAGACACGGCCCAGACUCCUACGGGAGGCAGCAGUGGGGAAUAUUGGACAAUGGGGGCAACCCUGAUCCAGCAAUGCCGCGUGUGUGAAGAAGGCCUUCGGGUUGUAAAGCACUUUCAGCAGGGAGGAAGAGAUGACGGUUAAUACCCGUUGUUGUGACGUUACCUGCAGAAGAAGCACCGGCUAACUCCGUGCCAGCAGCCGCGGUAAUACGGAGGGUGCAAGCGUUAUUCGGAAUUACUGGGCGUAAAGCGCACGCAGGCGGCUAUUUAAGUCAGAUGUGAAAGCCCCGGGCUUAACCUGGGAACUGCAUUUGAAACUGGAUAGCUAGAGUAUGUUAGAGGAAGGCGGAAUUUCCAGUGUAGCAGUGAAAUGCGUAGAUAUUGGAAGGAACACCGAUGGCGAAGGCAGCCUUCGUGGGGCAAUACUGACGCUCAUGUGCGAAAGCGUGGGUAGCAAACAGGAUUAGAUACCCUGGUAGUCCACGCCCUAAACGAUGUCAACUAGGCGUNGGGUACGUAAGUACUCGGUGCCGGAGCUAACGCAUUAAGUUGACCGCCUGGGGAGUACUGCCGCAAGGUUGAAACUCAAAGA
rnacentral:rRNA from 1 species